UUUUUCUCCUUUUUUUCUCCUUUCCUCUUGUUUUUCCCUUUUCUUGCAGCAAAUAGGGCUGUGUCUCAAUACCUGAGAGGAAAGCG
rnacentral:ribozyme from 12 species